CCACAAUUCCCAACCAACGCGGCUCCGCUACACAUCCUCUAUUCAUUUUAAUGGAGAAAUAGCUUGAGCUGCUCUGAGAAUUUUAAAAGCACGAAAGCCAACGGUCCAAUAUACUCUAAACACUGCUGUGCAUACACAUACACGUUUUUGGACUAUGAUAGACGCUUAAGAGAGACAGUAGUGGUGCCGCUUCACUAGAAUCUGACUAACUGUAUUCUGUGCUGGUUGGUUUUGCCUGUCAGGUAUUUGAGGAGGUGCCUCUGGAUGCAGACGGGAGUAUAAACUCAGGCACUGGAUGUGGCUCUCCUGCAGUGUCUUUCUUCCAGCAGUUCUUCCACUGCUACUCUCCUGUAGGCUUCGGACGAAGGAAAGACCCCAGAGGAGACUACAUCAGGCGCUACAUCCUUACGCUAAAGGACUAUCCCAACUACUACAUCUAUGA
rnacentral:lncRNA from 1 species